AGAGUUUGAUCCUGGCUCAGGAUGAACGCUGGCGGCGUGCCUAAUACAUGCAAGUCGAGCGAACGGACGAGAAGCUUGCUUCUCUGAUGUUAGCGGCGGACGGGUGAGUAACACGUGGAUAACCUACCUAUAAGACUGGGAUAACUUCGGGAAACCGGAGCUAAUACCGGAUAAUAUUUUAAACCGCAUGGUUCAAAAGUGAAAGACGGUCUUGCUGUCACUUAUAGAUGGAUCCGCGCUGCAUUAGCUAGUUGGUAAGGUAACGGCUUACCAAGGCAACGAUGCAUAGCCGACCUGAGAGGGUGAUCGGCCACACUGGAGCUGAGACACGGUCCAGACUCCUACGGGAGGCAGCAGUAGGGAAUCUUCCGCAAUGGGCGAAAGCCUGACGGAGCAACGCCGCGUGAGUGAUGAAGGUCUUCGGAUCGUAAAACUCUGUUAUUAGGGAAGAACAUAUGUGUAAGUAACUGUGCACAUCUUGACGGUACCUAAUCAGAAAGCCACGGCUAACUACGUGCCAGCAGCCGCGGUAAUACGUAGGUGGCAAGCGUUAUCCGGAAUUAUUGGGCGUAAAGCGCGCGUAGGCGGUUUUUUAAGUCUGAUGUGAAAGCCCACGGCUCAACCGUGGAGGGUCAUUGGAAACUGGAAAACUUGAGUGCAGAAGAGGAAAGUGGAAUUCCAUGUGUAGCGGUGAAAUGCGCAGAGAUAUGGAGGAACACCAGUGGCGAAGGCGACUUUCUGGUCUGUAACUGACGCUGAUGUGCGAAAGCGUGGGGAUCAAACAGGAUUAGAUACCCUGGUAGUCC
rnacentral:rRNA from 1 species